GAACUUCAUUUGCGUCGAAGUCUCCGAAGAUUUGUUGCGGUUUGGUGUGUCUUUUAUUUUUACGUGGAACUCAUAUCGAUCCGAUAUGCCGCGUCCGAAAAUGGAUUUUGCGACUAAUAAGUGGCGAGGCACCACGCGAGCAAGGAUGAACAGCCCUGGAGGUUAUGGGCACUGCUCAAUUGGCUCAUUCCUCGGUGCUUCUCGAAGGCCUGGUCAAGGAGGAGUUGCUCAGUGAACUACUAGUUUGAGUUCCCUGAGACGGACACCACUGACAUCACCUACAGUGCCGAGGUACAGGCUUAAUGGCAGAUAUCAAUAGGAGAUGAUGGUACGCGUCACGUCUGUUUGGUUGGACAGCCACCAAGUUGACUUGGAUGUCAGCGCCUGUUGUCAUCAGAACCUGGUUCUUGUGCUGCCACAUCAUUUUUGGUGGUGGCGCUGUCGUCACCUCCCAGCGCUUGCGCUCCCCGAGUUCCCAUUCAAGAUGGUGCUGCCACGGACUUUGGCUCGUGGGGGUGCCGUCGCUACUGACAAAGCCUGUGCUCCCCGUCGUCCCUGUUGAAAUGGUGGCUGGAACUUGGAGAGGGUUUGCUGCCACAGCCGGUCAGUUCAAGUUCCGCACAUUCUGCCGUAGCCCUUGGGAAUUCGUUCCUUCCAUGUUGAGGUUCUAGUAGGAGAAGUCCACCGCUGUUGAGCUGCAUGUCACCACAGCAGUCAAUCUGCAGAGGGGCAUGGCCACGUGACCACACUUCUGAAAUGUUAGAGCCUUGUUGUGGACAUGGAGGCCGGUGUGAGAGAUUUAAUAUGCGUCUGGCACAUCUGCCCGGCGAAAGAACUCAUGGGUGUGCCACAUGGAAAGUGAGCAGAC